GAUGAACGCUGGCGGCGUGCCUAAUACAUGCAAGUCGAACGAAGAAUGUAGCAAUACUUUCUUAGUGGCGAACGGGUGAGUAACGCGUUGGUGACCUGCCCCGAAGUGAGGGAUAACAAUUCGAAAGAGUUGCUAAUACCUCAUGUGAUCCUCCGGUCUAGAUGCCGGUUGAUUAAAGGAUUUAUUCGCUUNNGGAGGGGCCUGCGUCCCAUCAGCUAGUUGGUAGGGUAAUGGCCUACCAAGGCUAUGACGGGUAGGGGGCCUGAGAGGGUGACCCCCCACACUGACACUGAAAUACGGGUCAGACACCUANNGGUGGCAGCAGUAGGGAAUAUUGGUAAUCUGGGAAACCGGGAACCAGCAACGCCGCGUGUGCGAUGAAGGCCUUCGGGUUGUAAAGCACUUUUUGAGAGGAUGAGGAAGGACAGUACUCUCAGAAUAAGCCUCGGCUAACUACGUGCCAGCAGCCGCGGUAACACGUAGGAGGCAAGCGUUAUUCGGAUUUAUUGGGCGUAAAGCGCGUGCAGGCGGUUCGAUAAGUUGGAUGUGAAAGCUCCUGGCUUAACUGGGAGAGGUCGUUCAAUACUAUCGGACUAGAGGAUGAGAGAGGGAGGUGGAAUUCCGAGUGUAGUGGUGGAAUGCGUAGAUAUUCGGAGGAACACCAGUGGCGAAAGCGGCCUCCUGGCUCAUAACUGACGCUCAGACGCGAAAGCUAGGGUAGCAAACGGGAUUAGAGACCCCGGUAGUCCUAGCCGUAAACUAUGUAGACUUGGCGUUGGUGGGGUAAAAUCCAUCAGUGCCGAAGCAAACGCGAUAAGUCUACCGCCUGGGGACUACGAUCGCAAGAUUAAAACUCAAAGGAAUUGACGGGUCCCCGCACAAGCAGCGGAGCGUGUGGUUUAAUUCGAUGAUACGCGAAGAACCUUACCAGGGUUUGACAUGAGGGUGGUAGGGAUCCGAAAGGUGACCGACUCCUCGGAGAGCCCCCACAGGUGCUGCAUGGCUGUCGUCAGCUCGUGUCGUGAGACGUUCGGUUAAGUCCGCUAACGAGCGCAACCCUCGUCGUGUGUUACAAGUGUCACGCGAGACCGCCGGUGUCAAGCCGGAGGAAGGUGAGGAUGACGUCAAGUCAGCAUGGCCUUUAUAUCCUGGGCUACACACACGCUACAAUGGCCAGCACAAUUGGUUGCGAAACCGCGAGGUGGAGCCAAUCCAUAAAGUUGGUCUCAGUUCAGAUUGUAGGCUGCAACUCGCCUGCAUGAAGAUGGAGUUGCUAGUAAACGCAGGUCAGCAUUACUGCGUUGAAUACGUUCCCGGGGAU
rnacentral:rRNA from 1 species